CGCACUUUCGUUGAAUGAAUUAGAGGUGCUUGCACCGAAGAUGAUUUUAGCUAUAAAGUGAGUGGCGAACGGGUGAGUAACACGUGGGUAACCUGCCCAGAAGUGGGGGAUAACACCUGGAAACAGAUGCUAAUACCGCAUAACAAAGUAAACCGCAUGGUUUACUUUUAAAAGAUGGCUUCGGCUAUCACUUCUGGAUGGACCCGCGGCGUAUUAGCUAGUUGGUGAGAUAAAGGCUCACCAAGGCAGUGAUACGUAGCCGACCUGAGAGGGUAAUCGGCCACAUUGGGACUGAGACACGGCCCAGACUCCUACGGGAGGCAGCAGUAGGGAAUCUUCCACAAUGGACGAAAGUCUGAUGGAGCAACGCCGCGUGAGUGAUGAAGGCUUUAGGGUCGUAAAACUCUGUUGUUGGAGAAGAACGUGUGUGAGAGUAACUGCUCAUGCAGUGACGGUAUCCAACCAGAAAGCCACGGCUAACUACGUGCCAGCAGCCGCGGUAAUACGUAGGUGGCAAGCGUUAUCCGGAUUUAUUGGGCGUAAAGCGAGCGCAGGCGGUCUUUUAAGUCUAAUGUGAAAGCCUUCGGCUUAACCGAAGAAGUGCAUUGGAAACUGGAAGACUUGAGUGCAGAAGAGGACAGUGGAACUCCAUGUGUAGCGGUGAAAUGCGUAGAUAUAUGGAAGAACACCAGUGGCGAAGGCGGCUGUCUGGUCUGUAACUGACGCUGAGGCUCGAAAGCAUGGGUAGCGAACAGGAUUAGAUACCCUGGUAGUCCAUCCGUAAACGAUGAAUGCUAAGUGUUGGGGGUUCCGCCCUUCAGUGCUGCAGCUAACGCAUUAAGCAUUCCGCC
rnacentral:rRNA from 1 species